rnacentral:rRNA from 1 species
GAUGAACGCUCGGCGGACGUGUGCCUAAUACAUGCAAGUCGAGCGACACGGACGACGAAGCUUGCUUCUCUGAUGUUAGCGGCGGACGGGUGAGUAACACGUGGAUAACCUACCUAUAAGACUGGGAUAACUUCGGGAAACCGGACGCUAAUACCGGAUAAUAUUUUGAACCGAUGGUUCAAAAGUAAAAGACGGUCUUGCUGUCACUUAUAGAUGGAUCCGCGCUGCAUUAGCUCAGUUGGUAAGUGUAACCGGCUUACCAAGGCAACGAUGCAUAGCCGACCUGAGCAGUGGUGAUCGGCACACUGGAACUGAGACACGGUCCAGACUCCUACGGGAGGCAGCAGUAGGGAAUCUUCCGCAAUGGGCGAAAGCCUGAGGAGCAACGCCGCGUGAGUGAUGAAGGUCUUCGGAUCGUAAAACUCUGUUAUCAGGGAAGACCCAUAUGUGUCAGUAACUGUGCACAUCUUGACGGUACCUAAUCAGAAAGCCACGGUAACUACGUGCCAGACAGCCGCGGUAAUACGUAGGUGGCAAGACGUCAUCCGGAAUAUCUUGGGCGUAACGCGCGC